UGCCACAGUGGGGAAGCUGCCUGGUGCAAGGUGUGAGUCCUGGAAUGAUUAGUGAUAGUGGUCUCAAAUGAGGACACCUUCGUCUCCCACCAGUUUCCUUCCUAUGGACAGGCUCAGUCCAGUUAUACAGGCCAGGAGGGGCUGGUGCCCACAGCCUCCCGCCUCUGCAAGGUAGGAUUGCAUAUCUCAAACAUCUCUAACUCAGUUUCGGCUUUGUUGGUCUUGUUUAAGGAAAUAAGCCAGUAAGCCAAAACUAUUUUUGUUGUUGUUCUCUUGUCUUCUGAAAGAGAGGGGAUAUCAAUUUUAAAUGUUUCUCUCAAUUUGAUCUUUCAAAUUUUUCUAAUAAAGUGCCAAAUUGCUGCUGCUUCUUCUUCUUCUUUCUUCUUCUUCUUCUUCUUCUUCUUCUUCUUCUUCUUCUUCUUCUUCUUCUUCUUCUUCUUCUUCUUCUUCAUGUUUUCUGCUAGGGUUUUCUUGUUUUGUUUUGGUUUCAGUUUGUUUUAUUUUCAGCAAGUUAGGUAACUUGAGAGGACUUCCACUAGGAUGUUCACACCUCUGUGCUCUGGUCCUCUGACCCCUCCAAAAAAUAGCCACCUGGGAAUAAAUGCAAGCUCCCCCCCUCCAGCAUCUACCAAAAUACUGUUGCAGCAAUUCCAAGUUCAAAUGGUGGGGAUGGAAGGUAGUUUGGAGUUGGGUUGGGUUGGGUUGGGUUAGGUUGGACAGAAGUCAGUUUUAAAAUUCACAGCGCCCUAAGGUCAGUGUGGGGUUUAUUCCUCUAUCCCAAUGUGUUUCACAAGGUGGCGCUUUCAGAGAAAACUCUAAACCUGACCAAGACUGAGAGGUAUUCUAGAGACAGUACUUGUAACUAUUUUCCUGCACAUCUGUAACUAUCACCUAGCAUAUUCCUUCAGACAAUUAACAGCCUUCAUAAUAUUCUACAGCUUAUAUGUUUUGCUUUUUAGCUAGGUUCUGAGUGACUAAGUUAGGCUUGAGAGUGAUGUUUAAGCAAUAAAGAAGGCCUUUACUUAAGAGACAUUUUUGAUGUACCCAAAUAACCUGAAAUUCUAGGACAUACAACUAAAAACUUCCCUGAAGCCGGCCCUCGUCUGUGAGCAGCACGGUUUCAUUAGAAAUGGCAAAACUCCUUGCGGGGUUGGGAGUGGGGGACAGUCCUAACUCUCACAGCCCUUGACAUGUCUGCUGCGGUUCACCCCUCACUAUCCAUGACCUUUUGACACUGUCAUUUCUAAACUCAAGUGAACAAAGGAAGCACUGCAUCUGUAACUGAGUAUGCAGACCAUUUUCUAAAGAACCACAGUGCUCGACAAAUACUGGAAGAACUGGUAUGUUUUACACGCACAUAAACUACAAGUGCAAACUCUUACAUUCCAAUUCCUAAAUUACAGUUAUAUAGUACAUAUGAACAUUACAGUUUAGACAGGAACCUGCAUAAGGCUUUGGUUUUUCUACUCUCGAGGUCACUUUUAUACUACAUUUUAAAUUCACACUUUUCUCAGAGACCCAGCCCCCUGAGCCAAUAGUGACAGUACACUGGGAUGAACAGACACAGUACCACACCAUGGCAGAAAGCAGUUUAUUCCUUAUGAGUCACACACACACACACACACACCCUGCCUGACUUCACACACACACACACACACUGCCUGACUUCACACACACACACCCUGCCUGACUUCACUCCAGAAAGGCUGGCAGGGAGGUUUCAGUCAUUUACACAGACCAGGUGCUCAAGCAUUGAGAAAUCGAUUCUUUCAACCCUCUGCUCUCACUGAAGCAGAUCUCAGGUUAAGCCCCUCAGUGAAAGGCCAAGGGUCCCCUGGGUCUGCCACCAUUCUGGAGUUCCUGAGCCUGACCCCACCCCUACUCCUGCUGAAUGACAGGGGGCGGGGCAGCGGAGCCAGGCCAAGCAGGAUAUUGUGGGAGGACCAGUGACCUGCUGCACCUCAGCCAUCUGUUGUGCCAUCUUAGGAAGCAGGGUGCUCGAGAAACACAGAGCUGUCCUCUGAGCUACAAUAACUACAGUUUGCUCACUAGGCUAGCUAGCUCUGGUGUAGAGAUGCAAGCCCUAUAUGAAAUGUCUCCCACUCAAAGUUUUGCUGGGGGGUGGGGGUUGAGAUGUAUAAUUGCAGGAGAAAUUCUGACUUUACUGUUUUCUAUCUGAUACAUCCAUGGUGGGGAAAAGAUAUGAAACUGUCUCAGUUUGAAAAGCUCUUCUACUUCAAUUGGCAAACGCAUGGAGUUCGUUACUUUCUACUUUCUUCUUUUUUCUCCUUUAGUGAGCAAAUUAUUCCUUGAACAGAAAGAGGAUUUUCCCAUUUAGAGGAAGCUUCUGUGUGAAUUGUCAGGUCACACAAAUAAUGCCAUUAUAUUGUUGAGUGUAGGGCUUUGGUUUUUCAGGGGACACAUAGCCAAGCAGUGAUGGUCAGGAAUUAUGUCUCACUCUAUCAUUUCUUACUCAAGCAGGGUUCCAGCCAGAUUCUAUUGUGAGCUGAGGUUAGUCGGGGGACCCUGUGCUCUACUUGAAGUUUCAUAAUCUUUAGUUCUAUGAAAUGCAAUAACAUAUAUUAGCCAGCAAUAUUCCUGUGGUCGCCAGCAUCUCUGAGUUUGACCUUCAGUCUCUGGAUGGUUAAAAUAGAUCCCAGCAGUAAUCCAUUUCUUGACAUCAGUGCUUAAGUCAAGUAUCUUUCCACUCUGGUCCUAUUUGCAACAAUGUAUUCAUGUAUGUUUCAUUUCCUUUAUUCAUUAUUUUCCUAUGAACAGUGAUAAAUGUAUUAGCACAUUGAAUUAAUAGCAUAAUAGAAAGAGCACUUAGCAGAUGGGGAUUUUUUAUCAAGUCCCACAUUUACAUAAGUUAUUUCUAUUAUUAUUCAUGUAUAUUAUUUAUUGCUAAGCCUCACACCAUUCCUGUGAAAGUGCAACUAAAGGCAGAUAUUAGGGCUUGGAUUUAAUGUUCCUUAUCAUGGUCUUGAACAAAAAAUUCAGUGAUGCCCCCAAAUAAGCUGCCUGCGUUUUUAACACGACUGCUAGAUUUCAGUAGGUUAAGUGUAACACUUUUGGUGUCUAGGUGUCUUUUUACAUUAAAAGAGGCAAAGCAGCAGAACUCUGUAGCUAUUGCUUCUGGCAGAGAUUUGUUUAGCAUAGUGUGGUAUUAAUUAUAGCAAAUGUUAAGGUAGCAUGUAGAGGUUGCCUUCAAUAAGGGACUGUGCCAGGUGGCCAGCAAAGUGGAUUCUAGGCAGAGCAGGCGUCUAGGUGCUGCCUCCUGUCUGGUUGUGUGAAGAGAGCUGCUCCGAGCAAUGUAGUGCCCCCGUGCCCCCGUAGGUGUCCUGGGCAGCGGUGGGAACACGUGGUACUGUAGAGAAGGGAUCAGCGUGAGGGGUGUUCUGUAGGAACAGAACUGGUAGCGUAUGCCUUGAGGCUUCCUGCCCGUGUUUUCAGAUUCCAGGCAUACAUUCUGUAUACAGAAGCAGUCCAUCCUAGCAAUAAAACCUAGGAAUCCCCAACAACUCAAAAGGCAGUUGCCCUGCUGUGGUUUCUGUCCUGAGCUGAAGGUUAACGGGCAAGUGUUAGGCACAGAAGAGCAUCGUGUGCUGGGGUGCCGUGCCACGGCCCAGGGUGCGUGUUAGCAGUAGAGACUGUUACAGGGUUGUCCCUUCUAGGUGCGUAGAAGUAUAUGGCUUCACUGUAAAGUGUGUAUUGUUUCUGUAUUCCCACAGGGACUUGUUAAAGCUUCUAGAGGCUUCAGCAAAGCUGUAGACCACAGUAAGCUGCUUUUUGUUUGACUUAUUCUUAGACUAGGAAAUGUUUAAAGG
rnacentral:lncRNA from 1 species